rnacentral:tRNA from 1 species
GUUGUUGUAGUAUAGUGGUGAGUAUUCCCGCUUGUCACGCGGGUGACCUAGGUUCGUUUCCAGACAAUAGUG